AUUGAACGCUGGCGGCAGGCCUAACACAUGCAAGUCGAGCGAGCGGCGGACGGGUGAGUAAUGUAUGGGGACUGCCUGAUGGGGGGGGAUAACUACUGGAAACGGUCGCUAAUACCGCAUACCCUCAGAUAACCCAUAUGGGAUUAGCUUGUGGGUGGGGUAAGGGCUCACCUAGGCGACGACCCCUAGCUGGUCUGAGAGGCUGAUCGGCCACACUGGGACUGAGACACGGCCCAGACUCCUAGGGAGGAAGCAUUGGGGAAUAUUGCACAAUGGGCGCAAGCCUGAUGCAGACAGGCCGCGGGGAUGAAGAAGGCCUUCGGGUUGUAAAGUACUUUCAGUCGGGAGGCGUUACCGACAGAGAAAGCACCGGCUAACUCCGUGCCAGCAGCCGCGGUAAUAC
rnacentral:rRNA from 1 species